CUUUUACAUUUUUCAAGUAUAGAUCAACAUACGGUGUUCACUUCUUAUACAAGUUUUUAGUUGUCAGUUGAAUGACACUACUUAUCAAAGCACCCAGAGAAGUUGUAAACAAAUUUUUGAAAAUGUAAACUGAAACAUAAAGAGAGCAGUUCCAGUACCGAGAGUAUUGGGCAAGGUUCAAUUAAGAGAAUGUGGUCUUGUUUGGACAACGCACGCGAGUAUUCCACCUUGAAUGCAGUCUCCUCCUUGGGUAACAGGUACCCCUUGGCCUUGUAAAAUGAAACACCUAUCAAGAUUUCACUGGCGUGAACCUUUGAUACAUGCAAAAGCAUUGGCCAGGACAUUGUCAAGGUGACAUAGGACGUUUACAUUUUAAUAACACUGAGAAAACAUUUGAUUAAAGAACAGGAAGUGCUCUUGAAAGAAAGAAAAUUUCAAUUUACCGUCAAAGAGUUAAAAUACGAAAAAACUGAUUUAAUGGACUUUCCGCAAAAGAGAAAGGCACUUCAAGAUAUUUAAGUUUUUCGAUCAUUAUUUUUGAGUCUUAAUUUAUUUAGGGUUAUGUCGGUCACGUGAAAUUGGGGUAAAGCCGGCCACUUAGUUUUAAAUUAAAAGUUUAGAAUAAAAUAAUUUCACGUAUUAUAUUUUACCAAUAAUAAAAUUUAUAACUUGUUGAAUCUAAAAUUG